UUUGGAGGAUGAAAAAAAUGGGUGAGAACUCUCUCAAAUCUCUCUCCCUCUACAUGACUUGCUAAGGAAAAAUAGAUGGAGAAAAAAAGAAAAAAAUGUACAAAUUUAAAAAGAAAAAAAACAAUAGGGUGAUUAUAAUAUAGGGAAAAAUAGAGACAAAUCUAUUUUAUCCCAUACCUCAGUCUACCAAACCAUCUUUUCCCAUUAAAUGGGAGGAGAUUUUUAUUCAAAAAUGGUAAAAUCACCAUAUUGGCCAUCCAACUUCCCCCUACUUCAC
rnacentral:lncRNA from 1 species